rnacentral:misc_RNA from 1 species
AUGAAGCCGUUGUUUCAAGUAUUAUGAGAAGUAACACCGAAACCAGCAGUGUGACUGGCGAAAUUACAAUUCAUUUGAGACUCGUGAGGGCAACGCUAAUGAGUAAGGUUCAAAGGUUGAGAGAGGAAGGUCAUCGGACUGGAAUGAAUGGCAAUAAAAGCAUGAACCCGACAAUUCACUGAGUGUUCCAUCUUGGACCUGCAGCUCUCUGUCAUCAACAUGAAGCUGUCUCUUCUCGUCUUGGGCGCCAUCGUCCUGCUGGUUCAAGGGACCGCUCAAAAGGAUAAACGUGGACCAAAAGUAAAUCCUGUUACAAGAACAACAGCAGCAACCACAGUUUUGAACAAACCUGCGCCUGUAGCUACAACACCAGAUCGCAAAAGGCCAACACCUGCAAAAGCUGCUGCCCGUCAAAUGACAGUCACCCCGGCUACCAUUAGAGGCACAGAAACCAAAACGAGAAAAAAGGGGAAAAAAAGUUUUUCUGAGUUAUUACAAUUACUUGAGAAAAAUACUAAAACUACUCCGAAGCGCUUAACUGGGAAACCUGGAAAAUGGCAAGCUCGCUUUUUUGUCACAAAAUCAUUAAUCAGUGACACAAUACUGAUCAACAAGUGUGUACUAGCAGUUACCGACAAUAACAAACUGUCAAGUGAAGAUUGUAUUGGGCUUUCUCGUUAAAAUAAACUUGGAAAGGACCUUUACACUUUUCUCCUCUUGUAUAUUGUCAUAAUAUACUAAAACCUUUAUGCAACCUUCCUCAUCUUCAUCACCUUUUGUGCUUUGUUUGUUCACCAUGGACAACUAGAUAAGAAAUUAAAAGGAAGAACGGACCCCUAGCAAGAUAGUCUUUGGUCAUGUACUGUACAUUGUUUGUUCAUAUCAGGCUGCAGGUAUUGUUACCUGUAAUACUAUCCUGUGUAAAUAGCAAUUAAAGGUGU